ACCUAACAAAUUUUAUCAAACACAAUGGAAGAAAAAUAUUUAAGAGUUUUGAGCCCAAUCAGACUUUAGUCUUCUUUGCAAACGUUUUCGAAAUCAUUUUGCAUGAUUGAAUCACCAUAUUUAAGAGUUAUUUCGACGCGAAACAAAAGCCAUUUUGACUAGAAAAUUAUAAAAAGAUUGUAAAGUUUUCAUAUGCUAAUUUAUAUUGAGUAAUAAAUAUGAAUUAUUUUGCAAGUACAGGAAAAAACAGAAUAUGUAUAGGUACUGCAUUGGCAGCUUUUCUUUUGUACUUUUAUCAUCUUCCAAUGAUAAUCUAUCAAGUAUUCAUCUGUACGAUUUCUGAAAAAAAUUCUAUACAAUCAUUUUGCAUGAUUGAAUCACCAUAUUUAAGAGUUAUUUCGACGCGAAACAAAAGCCAUUUUGACUAGAAAAUUAUAAAAAAAUUGUAAAGUUUUCAUAUGCUAAUUUAUAUUGAGUAAUAAAUAUGAAUUAUUUUGCAAGUACAGGAAAAAAACAGAAUAUGUAUAGGUACUGCAUUGGCAGCUUUUCUUUUGUACUUUUAUCAUCUUCCAAUGAUAGUCUAUCAAGUAUUCAUCUGUAUGAUUUCUGAAAAAAAUUCUAUAUCAGUAGCAUUCUUCAAU
rnacentral:lncRNA from 1 species